rnacentral:rRNA from 1 species
UACGAAGGGAGCUAGCGUUGUUCGGAAUCACUGGGCGUAAAGCGCACGUAGGCGGAUGUGUCAGUCAGGGGUGAAAUCCCGGAGCUCAACUUCGGAACUGCCUUUGAUACAGCACGUCUUGAGUCCGGAAGAGGUGGGUGGAAUUCCUAGUGUAGAGGUGAAAUUCGUAGAUAUUAGGAAGAACACCGGUGGCGAAGGCGGCCCACUGGUCCGGUACUGACGCUGAGGUGCAAAAGCGUGGGGAGCAAACAGG